rnacentral:lncRNA from 1 species
CUAUGAGUUCAAAUAUAUAAGUAGGUUGAAUAUAUGAAAAGCACAAAAUUUGCAUGGCAUCCAUAUCGGUGAGGCAGAAACCAAGGGAAACUAUAAUGCAUCUGACAGACCUGAAAGCAGUAGACAUCUCUGCGGGUUAUCUUGAUACCAGUUGUUGAAAUGGUGGUGGUGGUAGAGGAGAGGGAGGAGCAUUGCCCAAUGAAAUAGUGUAUUGGUGCAAGGGCUCCAUAGUAAGCACUGAAGGACUAGAUAAGCCUAGCCUUUAAGAUCUCCCCAAACUGACUAAAUUCUUCCCAAGACAGAACAACACACAGAGAAAAAAUUGCUGAGAGUACAGGAAAAAGUUAUAAGAAUGAAAUAUAAACAACAAAGAGAAAGAAAAGAAAAAGUCCAGACAAAAGUGGAGUAAAGGUAGGAGACCCAGAAAAUCUGAGAAAGUGAGUUACUAUUUGCUUAGACUAUUAAAAAACAACAGAAAAUGGAACUCUGCAGGUAGGACAGUCCCUGAUCCAAGACAUUUAAAAACUUAAGAAAAACACAUUUUUAAAAAUAAAAAUAAGAAACAGAUAAUUGUCAAGGUCAAAUCCCAACAUGUGUAUUAUUUUUAUAGAAAAGAUAAUUAAGGCCGGUUGUGGUAGCUCACAUCUGUAAUCCUAAUUCUUUGGGAGGCCCAGGCAGGUGGAUCCCUUGAGGCCAGGUGUUUGAGACCAGCCUGGGCAACAUGGUGAAUCCCCAUCUAUACUAAAAAUACAAAAAUUAGCGUGGUGUGGUGGUGCACACCUGUAAUUCCAGCUACUCAGGAGGCUGAGGCAGAAGAAUUGCCUGAAUCCGAGAGGUGGAGUUUGCAGUGAGUGGAGAUCACACCACUGCACUCUAGCCUGGGCAACAGAGUGAGACUCUGUCUCAAAAAAAAAAAAAAAAGAAAAAAAAAAAAAAAGAAAGAAAGAAAGAAAGAAAGAAAAAAAGAAAUAAAGAGAUAAUUAGGUGUAAAAUAAUAUCCACACAGAAAAUAAAAAUUUUAAGAUGGGUUUUAAGCCAUUUAAAAAUGAUAUAUAACAGAGCAAAAUAAAUGGGAAUGAGAAGAAAACAGAAAUAAGGUGCUACAACUUGGGGGAAAAAAAACAGAAAUAAAAGAAAAAUCACCUUAUAAAUGACAACCAGGAGAAACACAGGUAAAUAGAUAUAACAUAAAAUAAAAAUGCCUUCUGUGAUUUAGAAGAUUAAAAAGGACGAUUUAAAAAAUCAAAAUAAAUAAAGAGACAAGAAUUGAAUAAAAAGUAAGUAUUGAAGCUGGGCAAAGAUGAUCUAAAAAAUGUAUUAAAAAAAACUUUCCUGAAGUUAAAAAAAUGGAAAUUCAUAACGAAAAAAGUUCAUUUUUAUACCAAAAAAAGCACAUUAAAUACCUAAGAAUCUUGAUCUAGAAUGACAAAACUCAAGACAUACUCUAAUAAAGUAUUGAACUUAAUAUAUUAAAACAAAAGCUCAUUUGAGCACUGAGACAAAAACAGUAAGUAACUUACAUAGGAUAGAAAAUUAGAUUGUCAUUAGACCUUUCACCAGCAAUGCUUUUGUCAGAAAAAUAGAGUAACAUAUUUAAUAUACUCAAUAUAAGAAGAUAAAUGACUUACCAGUAUAACAGCAUGAGCAAACUAUAAUCAACAUGGAAGAAUUCAGGGAAUUAUUGGGCCUUCCUGGGAAAUCUACUAGGAAAUAGUCUUCAGGCAACCAAAAUGGGUACACAGGCAUCA